rnacentral:rRNA from 1 species
UACAGAGGUCUCAAGCGUUGUUCGGAUUCAUUGGGCGUAAAGGGUGCGUAGGCGGCGCGGUAAGUCGGGUGUGAAAUCUCGGGGCUCAACCCCGAAACUGCACUUGAUACUGCCUUGCUCGAGUACUGGAGAGGAGACUGGAAUUUACGGUGUAGCAGUGAAAUGCGUAGAUAUCGUAAGGAAGACCAGUGGCGAAGGCGGGUCUCUGGACAGUUCCUGACGCUGAGGCACGAAGGUCAGGGGAGCAAACGGG